CGAUAACGGAAGUCCUUGAACGCAACUAGCAGCUGUUCCUCCUAAAUAUGCUUUCAGCUCACCUUUUGUUCAUUUAUGGUGAUGUCUGACAGCAAAUCACCUCUUCCGGCCAUUCCAGAUCUUCGGCACACCUCAACCAUCCAAGAGCAAUUAUAGAAUAACAGACAUACCAACAUCCAACUCGUGUGGGUAAAAGCACAUGAUGUACUCGAAGGAAAUGAAACUGCUGACCAUCCAGCCAAACAGCCGGCGCGGGACAUUGACGCAACGUAAUGUCACAUCUUAGCGGUCUCGUCACACCUCAAACGCAUUCUCCACCGUACCAUAAAGUAUUAAUCCUCUGGCAGUCAGGAUGGAAUAACUGGAACACGGGACUUCUUCAUUCAAAACGUCUAUUCUGAUCGCCAUAUCUUCAUUCCACGCAUUUUAUCACCAGCCAUAGCGCUUUCCAACUUAUUUCAAAAGACAUGAUAUCAUCAGUACUCAUGUCUGUGUUUGCACCCUGACCAAUACAUAUACAGUUGUCCUCUUAUCAUCUCUUUGCAUCCAAACAACCCAAACAACACAGCAGCGUACAAACGUAUCCUGGCUACAAAUCGGACAGCAGUCACGAAAAUCUGCUAUGUCCUGGAUUCAGGCCCAAGGACAAGACAUCUGUCAGGCUUACUGAGCAAAGCAUCUCUCUGAGCAAACUUGUAUGUCUCAUCUAGGAUUAUCUCAUCUGUGCGGAGUAUGUGUAUGUGAUUCAAUGCAAGCACAACUGAUGAACUCUGAGAAACUUGUUUAAUGCAAAAACUGUAUUGAACUUUGAGUAAAAUUGUUUAGUAUCUC